CUGGUGAUACUGUAGGUCUAGGGGAAGUACCCGAAAUAUUAUUUGUGAUACCUUUUUUGAAUUUGUACUGUUUUCUUUUUUUUUUUUUUUUUUUUUUUUUUAAAUAAACGUAAAUGUAUCACCAUGAUAAUGGCGGGGAUAAAAGCGAUAUUUGUUGAAUGGAAAUAACACUUGAUUAAUUUCGUGCGUCCGAAGCGCUUUUCUGGAUUUACUUUCAUCAGGAAUUAACGCGCAAACCUAAACAUUUAAAAGAAAGUAUAAAUACAUACGUUGAAGGUCGACGAUGAUCACGAGACAACAAUAAGUGUAUCACUUCAAAAUUUUAAGGUCACAAAUUCUUAAUUAGAAUGUUU
rnacentral:lncRNA from 1 species